AUGUUCAGAGGCAGCAAUGGACUGGCCCCUGUAUUCACUUUAGUUCCAAGCAUUUUGCCAGUGAAGAUACUAAUUGUGCAAGCUUAUAUACAUGGAUAUGAGCAGAAUCUGACAACACCACCACAUGGCACGUUUAUGCAUUUGAGCCAUAUGACUUGUCAAUUAAUUGUCUUCUCUGGACAACCAAAUGCCCAUAAUGGAAUUCUUCAACUUGCCCGCUGCUUGGAUGUUGCGCCCCGACUGGUGAAGUUGCAUUUGGAUAUGGUAUAUCUGAACCUUGACGACGGUGGGAGUGAUGAGGUGAUGGAGGAGGAGGAAGUGGUGAAUGCUCAAACAAAGUUUGGCGUCGACCGCGCCGAUGGUGGUAUCGUAUAUUCAUAUGUAAUACUGAUGAUGGUGGGUGCUGUAAGCCAGUUCGCCGGGUUUCUUGAGAGUCUGUCGUGCAAAGAGAUAAUGAUGUCAGUGUGA
rnacentral:rRNA from 1 species